ACGCUGGCGGCGUGCCUAAUACAUGCAAGUCGAACGAGAGCGACCGGUGCUUGCACUGGUCAAUCUAGUGGCGAACGGGUGAGUAACACGUGGGUAACCUGCCCAUCAGAGGGGGAUAACAUUCGGAAACGGAUGCUAAAACCGCAUAGGUUCUUGAGUCGCAUGACUCAGGAAGGAAAAGAGGCUUCGGCUUCUGCUGAUGGAUGGACCCGCGGUGCAUUAGCUAGUUGGUGAGGUAACGGCUCACCGAGGCCGUGAUGCAUAGCCGACCUGAGAGGGUGAUCGGCCACAUUGGGACUGAGACACGGCCCAAACUCCUACGGGAGGCAGCAGUAGGGAAUCUUCCGCAAUGGACGCAAGUCUGACGGAGCAACGCCGCGUGAGUGAAGAAGGAUUUCGGUUCGUAAAACUCUGUUGUUAGAGAAGAACAGCGCAUAGAGUAACUGUUAUGCGUGUGACGGUAUCUAACCAGAAAGCCACGGCUAACUACGUGCCAGCAGCCGCGGUAAUACGUAGGUGGCAAGCGUUGUCCGGAUUUAUUGGGCGUAAAGCGAGCGCAGGCGGUCAAUUAAGUCUGAUGUGAAAGCCCCCGGCUCAACCGGGUAGGGUCAUUGGAAACUGGUUGACUUGAGUGCAGAAGAGGAGAGUGGAAUUCCAUGUGUAGCGGUGAAAUACGUAGAUAUAUGGAGGAACACCAGUGGCGAAGGCGACUCUCUGGUCUGUAACUGACGCUGAGGCUCGAAAGCGUGGGUAGCAAACAGGAUUAGAUACCCUGGUAGUCCACGCCGUAAACGAUGAGUGCUAAGUGUUGGAGGGUUUCCGCCCUUCAGUGCUGCAGUUAACGCAUUAAGCACUCCGCCUGGGGAGUACGACCGCAAGGUUGAAACUCAAAGGAAUUGACGGGGACCCGCACAAGCG
rnacentral:rRNA from 1 species